rnacentral:rRNA from 1 species
ACUCCUACGGGAGGCAGCAGUGGGGAAUAUUGCACAAUGGGCGCAAGCCUGAUGCAGCCAUGCCGCGUGUGUGAAGAAGGCCUUCGGGUUGUAAAGCACUUUCAGUCGUGAGGAAGGUAGUGUAGUUAAUAGCUGCAUUAUUUGACGUUAGCGACAGAAGAAGCACCGGCUAACUCCGUGCCAGCAGCCGCGGUAAUACGGAGGGUGCGAGCGUUAUCCGGAAUUAUUGGGCGUAAAGCGCGCGUAGGCGGUUUUUUAAGUCUGAUGUGAAAGCCCACGGCUCAACCGUGGAGGGUCAUUGGAAACUGGAAAACUUGAGUGCAGAAGAGGAAAGUGGAAUUCCAUGUGUAGCGGUGAAAUGCGCAGAGAUAUGGAGGAACACCAGUGGCGAAGGCGACUUUCUGGUCUGUAACUGACGCUGAUGUGCGAAAGCGUGGGGAUCAAACAGGAUUAGAUACCCUGGUAGGAUAGCGU